AAAACAUUUCUUUUAAUUAUUCUUCUGGAGCAAUUUACAUAAUAUAUUUAAUUAUUUCAAUAGUUUUCCAUUCUUUAUAGAAAUGCGAAUUACCCACUAAUUGGGAUGCUUGUUGAUAUUGAUAAGAAUUGGAGAAUUUCAACCGAUUUGCUAAUUGCAGAGGUUUUUGUCGAUUUGGGUUUCAUGAUUCGUGUAUGCAUAUAUGUUUUCUUUUUCAUACUGCUGGGUGCUUGCAUUAGUCGGUAAGUGUUGGGUAUAUUUUCUUUAAAAUAGUUGGGAUUGUUUGAGUUCUCUUGGGUAUGAUUUGCAAAUGGAUUUUCAUUGGUAGUUUUAGGUAGACCCAUGGUAUCUCUGUAUAUCUGCUGAAUGGGAAGUUUUGUGUGAAAAUACUCUGAUUAUGGUUAAAGAUGGAAUCAUAUUCAUCUGUGUUACCUAGCCUUACAUGAAGGGAAAUUGAGUUGUAAUCUUUUAAGUAAAUAGGUUUUAUGAGACUGAUAACAUAAUUUUGAUUUGCUUAUUGGUUGAUGGUUUUACGAGACUGAUAAAAAGAUGUGUUGGAUAUAUUCUCUAAUGAUGUCAUAACCAAUUUCUUGUUCAUUUAUUGUCUUAGUUGAGUUCUCGAUGCAUGCUGGUUCUGAAUAAAUUUUUUUCUUUUGAUUUUUCUGUUUUGGGUAAGCUUACAGGAUUUAAAGAUUGUCUUAUUCCAAUCCACGAAUAUCCUUGUCAUAUCCCGUUUCGGAAUAAGCUAUUCUGGGGAUAUCCUCUUUAUAUCCCGUUCCGGUUCAGAAUUUCCCUGUCCGGGUCAGUUGUUUUAGUGUCCGGUUGGAAGGAAAAAAUUGGCUAUUAUUAAAAUACAAAAACACGGACCAUCAGGACUAAAAGACAGACCCCAAAACGAAAACGAAAUAGAUAUCCCAAAAAGGGAUAUCCCAAAAAGGGAUAUCCCGGUCCGGGUAUAUCCCAUUCCGAGGAUAUCUCUGAGUUGGUUUAAGGUUUUUUUUGAAGGAAAAAAUUGGCUAUUAUUAAAAUACAAAAACACGGACCAUCAGGACUAAAAGACAGACCCCAAAACGAAAACGAAAUAGGCCCAAAUUAUAACAAAAGCUUGGAAAAACAGGCCUAAUUUUAUCUGGGUCUAAAUACUAUUUAAGAAAAGAUUGAAUAUAACUUUUCCAAAGUCCGAUAUUUAUUAAAAAAAUAAAAUAAAAUUCAAAUCAUUUUUAAAUUAAAUAAUAUAAAAACUCUUUCUUCCUUCAUCUCUCUCGCGUUCGGUUUUCCCUUUAUUCUCUCCCCAUUUUCCCCUUUCUUCUACUAAUUUUCUUUUUCUCUCUACCUCCUUUAUUGUCCUUUCUAACAAACCGCUGCCGCUGCCUUUGCCUCCACACACUUUCCAGCGUCUUACCUCCGAUCACUUCCAUCCCAUCAUUCGAAAUUUAAAUCCUCAAAUAUAUCUAUCCAAUUCAUUGCUUCUCAUUUCUUCGGCGAUUCUCUCUCACUCUAGGUCUCUUUUCAACGUUUUCCUGUCAUUCUAUUUUAGGUUUGGGUAUCCACAGGCCAAAAACACACACGCUAUAGUAGGAAGAGAGUUUUCGUGAGAGAGAAACCCUAUGUUUUCUCUGGCGCUUCUGGUUUUUGUGAUUUUUGAAAUUCGUUGCUUCAACGGAGACUCAUUUCAGGUAUCAAUUUCUUUUUUAGUUUUAGCUCCAUGCUUUUUUACUUGUAUUUCAGUGGGUUUUUCUUAGGGUUUUUGGUUUUCAGCUUUAGAAAUUUCUGUUUCGUUUCGUCUUUCAGAUCUAUAGAUGUCGGUCUUGUUCUUCAUUUUUGUUUGUUUAUCGUAUACUAUAUGUUGUUCUUUAUUUUUGGAUUGUUUGUUUCCCUCUGUUUAAUAUUAUAGCUUUUGUGUUAUUUUCUAUUUCUUUUAAAUCUUUGCUUAGCAGAAUACUAAUUGCCUAAUCAAAAAGCAUCCGUAUGUACUUUGUUUACUGCAUCUGUGUUGGCUUGAUUUUGGUUCUAGGAACUCGGUGGGAGUUGAGACGCAUGUAGAGUUUAUUUGGUAGUUUUUGUGGAUGGUAAUAAAAUGUCUUUUUAAUUCGUUGUGAGUUGUGACAUUCAUUUUUUUAGUUUUCUCAAAAAGUCUGUAAAAUUCUAUGUUUUUAACACAAUUUAUCUUUAUUUUAAAAGGGGAUGUUUCUGGCUUUUAGUGGAUACUUUUGAAAUUUAUGGGUGGUAUAAGUGAUACCCGUAAUGAGUUCUUUUGGGUGCUUUCUCAGUGGUAUUUGUUGAUGUUUGCAGAUCAGAUUUCCAGUAUCUUUUGGUUAUUACAUUCAGACCUUCAUGAGGCUACGAUUACAACUGUAAAGAGAAUCCACGAAGUACGAGAAGGGAUGAAGAGAGAAUAAUGAAAACAAACCCCUGCUUCAUGGGAGUCAUUUCAGGUAUGAAUAUUUACCUUAACUGUGUAUUUGCUUAUUUUUUAAUUUCAGAUCUCUGC
rnacentral:lncRNA from 1 species